GUGGGUAGUUUGACUGGGGCGGUCUCCUCCUAAAGAGUAACGGAGGAGCACGAAGGUUGGCUAAUCCUGGUCGGACAUCAGGAGGUUAGUGCAAUGGCAUAAGCCAGCUUGACUGCGAGCGUGACGGCGCGAGCAGGUGCGAAAGCAGGUCAUAGUGAUCCGGUGGUUCUGAAUGGAAGGGCCAUCGCUCAACGGAUAAAAGGUACUCCGGGGAUAACAGGCUGAUACCGCCCAAGAGUUCAUAUCGACGGCGGUGUUUGGCACCUCGAUGUCGGCUCAUCACAUCCUGGGGCUGAAGUAGGUCCCAAGGGUAUGGCUGUUCGCCAUUUAAAGUGGUACGCGAGCUGGGUUUAGAACGUCGUGAGACAGUUCGGUCCCUAUCUGCCGUGGGCGCUGGAGAACUGAGGGGGGCUGCUCCUAGUACGAGAGGACCGGAGUGGACGCAUCACUGGUGUUCGGGUUGUCAUGCCAAUGGCACUGCCCGGUAGCUAAAUGCGGAAGAGAUAAGUGCUGAAAGCAUCUAAGCACGAAACUUGCCCCGAGAUGAGUUCUCCCUGAGACUUAGAGUCUCCUGAAGGAACGUUGAAGACGACGACGUUGAUAGGCCGGGUGUGUAAGCGCAGCG
rnacentral:rRNA from 3 species